CUCAAUCCAGCUCAUCUGACUGAAAAGCUUCACAAGAUUCAUAUUUUUCACUGUUCUGUCUUCAUGUAGCAGAAGAGAUGCUUCAGUAGUGAACAGGAGCUGAAAACUCAAACCUGCUCUUUAAGGGCUGAUACUGCGGACUGUAAACAGGAAAUGACGUCUCAGAGCUUGAGUCAAAAGGUCAAAAGGUCAAGGACACAUGAUUUGGAGUAACACAGCGGGUAAAUGAUGAACCUUUCCUGGGGUUGAGAUUGAGAUGAGCUUGUAUUGUUGUUCUGUUUUAUACAAGGUGUGUGUUUCUGGAUGACCGGUGUUUUUGAAUGAUGGACACUAAAACAUCACCUUGUUCUUAAUCUAGUAGUUUUUAUCAUCUGUGCAGAAUUUUCUAAUUUUGUCUCAUUUAACGGUGUUUUCUGUGUUCA